rnacentral:rRNA from 1 species
GGGUGCGAGCGUUAAUCGGAAUUACUGGGCGUAAAGCGUGCGCAGGCGGUUUUGUAAGCCAGAUGUGAAAUCCCCGGGCUUAACCUGGGAAUGGCAUUUGGGACUGCAAGGCUUGAGUGUGGCAGAGGAGACUGGAAUUCCUGGUGUAGCAGUGAAAUGCGUAGAUAUCAGGAGGAACACCGAUGGCGAAGGCAGGUCUCUGGGCUGACACUGACGCUCAUGCACGAAAGCGUGGGGAGCAAACAGGAUUAGAUACCCUGGUAGUCCACGCCCUAAACGAUGUCGACUGGUUGUUGGGGGUUUGACACUCUCAGUAACGAAGCUAACGCGUGAAGUCGACCGCCUGGGGAGUACGGCCGCAAGGUUA